UACGUAGGGGGGCUAGCGUUGUCCGGAAUCAUUGGGCGUAAAGCGCGUGUAGGCGGCCCGGUAAGUCCGCUGUGAAAGUCGGGGGGCUCAACCCUCGGAUGCCGGUGGAUACUGUCGGGCUAGAGUGCGGAAGAGGCGAGUGGAAUUCCUGGUGUAGCGGUGAAAUGCGCAGAUAUCAGGAGGAACACCAAUUGCGAAGGCAGCUCGCUGGGACGUGACUGACGCUGAGACGCGAAAGCGUGGGGGAGCAAACAGG
rnacentral:rRNA from 1 species